rnacentral:rRNA from 1 species
CGAACGCUGGCGGCGUGCUUAACACAUGCAAGUCGAACGGAAAGGCCCUGCUUUUGUGGGGUGCUCGAGUGGCGAACGGGUGAGUAACACGUGAGUAACCUGCCCUUGACUUUGGGAUAACUUCAGGAAACUGGGGCUAAUACCGGAUAGGAGCUCCUGCUGCAUGGUGGGGGUUGGAAAGUUUCGGCGGUUGGGGAUGGACUCGCGGCUUAUUAGCUUGUUGGUGGGGUAGUGGCUUACCAAGGCUUUGACGGGUAGCCGGCCUGAGAGGGUGACCGGCCACAUUGGGACUGAGAUACGGCCCAGACUCCUACGGGAGGCAGCAGUGGGGAAUAUUGCACAAUGGGCGGAAGCCUGAUGCAGCAACGCCGCGUGCGGGAUGACGGCCUUCGGGUUGUAAACCGCUUUCGCCUGUGACGAAGCGUGAGUGACGGUAAUGGGUAAAGAAGCACCGGCUAACUACGUG